rnacentral:lncRNA from 1 species
CUAAAUUUUGCCUGUAAUCGAUCAUUUCUAGACCCCCAAAUCAUAUUGAUUUCUUUAGUUUGGUGGUUUACUUGUGUGUUUUUCAGGAUAUUUUAAAGGAUUUUGAAUCUUUCCUCUAUUUUUUAAUUUUUUUUCCAUCCGGUGGAAAAUGAAAUUAAAGGAUCAGGAGAGGGAUUUUAUGGAUUCACAACACAAUGCAAAGAUCUGGAAGGUCAGAGCGGCAGAGCCAGCUCACGUGUGGCUCUUGUGUGGUGUUGGGAGCCCUCUCCUCACAUCUGUCAGCUGCUGGGAGGAGCUGCACUCCAUGGAUCCGCUGGCAUCCAGACCCACUAGGCUGUGGAUGCCCUCAUCCUACGGGAAAACAUGGAAUUGGGCUUGAAAAGUUCAAACCAGCUCCUGGUCUCAUUGUAACAGGAAGAGAAGUGGUGGUGUGGGAAUGCACAAGAGUGGACAGGGGAGUUCUGCCCAGUUCCAACCACUGGAUCUGCAUCUCUGAGCCUCAUCACCACAGUAAAUAUUUUUCUCAGCUGAGUCUCUGGCAAUAAAAUUUUUCUUAACUUUCCAUAGGGUUGGUUGUUUUGGAUUUUUUUUUGGUGGAUUUGUUUGUUUAUUUGUUUUUGUGGGUUUUUUUUUUUGUUUGUUUUUUAGUUGGUUGAUGAGGCUUUUUUAUUUGUUUUGGUGUUUUUUUGGUGUUUUUUUGUUUGGUUGGUUUUGUGAGGUUUUUUUUUUUGUUUGUUUUUUUUAUUUGUUAUUUGGUUUUUUAAUAUUUUUUUAGUCCUGUUAAUCUGGAUUGUCAGGAAUAUCCAUCAUGAUGCCACAUCCCCUUCCUGCCACCAGCAUGACCUGAGGAAAUCCUGAGGAGCGCCCAGCUCUGGAAAGCAGCAGAAAUAGGGAAUUCCUGCUCUGAAAAGCA